AUUGAACGCUGGCGGCAGGCCUAACACAUGCAAGUCGAACGGGUCCUUCGGGACUAGUGGCGGACGGGUGAGUAACGCGUGGGAACAUGCCCUUUGGUACGGAAUAGCCUCGGGAAACUGGGAGGAAUACCGUAUGUGGUCGAGAGACGAAAGAUUUAUCGCCAGAGGAUUGGCCCGCGUUGGAUUAGGUAGUUGGUGGGGUAAUGGCCUACCAAGCCGACGAUCCAUAGCUGGUUUGAGAGGAUGAUCAGCCACACUGGGACUGAGACACGGCCCAGACUCCUACGGGAGGCAGCAGGGGGGAAUCUUAGACAAUGGGGGAAACCCUGAUCUAGCCAUGCCGCGUGAUCGAUGAAGGCCUUAGGGUUGUAAAGAUCUUUCAGGUGGGAAGAUAAUGACUGUACCACCAGAAGAAGCCCCGGCUAACUCCGUGCCAGCAGCCGCAGUAACAC
rnacentral:rRNA from 1 species